rnacentral:rRNA from 1 species
UACGUAGGGUGCAAGCGUUAAUCGGAAUUACUGGGCGUAAAGCGUGCGCAGGCGGUUGUGCAAGACAGAUGUGAAAUCCCCGGGCUCAACCUGGGAAUUGCAUUUGUGACUGCACGGCUAGAGUGUGUCAGAGGGGGGUAGAAUUCCACGUGUGAGCAGUGAAAUGCGUAGAGAUGUGGAGGAAUACCGAUGGCGAAGGCAGCCCCCUGGGAUAACACUGACGCUCAUGCACGAAAGCGUGGGGAGCAAA